CCCUUGUCCUGCUGGCAGCCCAGCCUAGCCCUUGCGGGAGCGAGCAGGCAAAGACCUGCAUACACAGAGUCUUCAAGGUCUCACCGCCUCGCAAGGCGCUGAAGCGCAGGAAGCUAACGAUCCUCCAGCUGCAUGCACCAGCCUGCCAGAACUGGCUAUUCCAAUACAUGCUGGAGCCGGAGGACCACGCUGCCAGCAGGACCCAAGUGGGACUGCGAGACGAGGAAGAGAUGCAAGUUGACAUCAAGCCAGGGGAUGACGAGGAGAUGGAGGUAGACAUCAGGUUGGAAGAUGAAAAGGAGAUGGAAGUGGACUAACUAGCAGGCCCAUCAAGAAGGAGGAGGAAG